rnacentral:piRNA from 1 species
UGUGAGUAUAGAAAGUUUGAA